rnacentral:rRNA from 1 species
UACGAAGGGUGCAAGCGUUACUCGGAAUUACUGGGCGUAAAGCGUGCGUAGGUGGUUUGUUAAGUCAGAUGUGAAAGCCCCGGGCUCAACCUGGGAAUUGCAUUCGAUACUGGCGAACUAGAGUGAGGUAGAGGAGAGUGGAAUUCCCGGUGUAGCAGUGAAAUGCGUAGAGAUCGGGAGGAACAUCAGUUGCGAAGGCGGCUCUCUGGACCAUCACUGACACUGAGGCACGAAAGCGUGGGGAGCAAACAGG